rnacentral:rRNA from 1 species
UGGGGAAUUUUGGACAAUGGGCGCAAGCCUGAUCCAGCCAUGCCGCGUGCAGGAAGAAGGCCUUCGGGUUGUAAACUGCUUUUGUCAGGGAAGAAAUCCUUUGGGUUAAUACCUCGAAGGGAUGACGGUACCUGAAGAAUAAGCACCGGCUAACUACGUGCCAGCAGCCGCGGUAAUACGUAGGGUGCGAGCGUUAAUCGGAAUUACUGGGCGUAAAGCGUGCGCAGGCGGCUUUGCAAGACAGAUGUGAAAUCCCCCGGGCUCAAACCUGGGAACUGCAUUUGUGACUGCAAGGCUAGAGUGCGGCAGAGGGAGAUGGAAUUCCGCGUGUAGCAGUGAAAUGCGUAGAUAUGCGGAGGAACACCGAUGGCGAAGGCAAUCUCCUGGGCCUGCACUGACGCUCAUGCACGAAAGCGUGGGGAGCAAACAGGAUUAGAUACCCUGGUAGUCCACGCCCUAAACGAUGUCAACUGGUUGUUGGACGGCUUGCUGUUCAGUAACGAAGCUAACGCGUGAAGUUGACCGCCUGGGGAGUANGGCCNCCAAGG